UUUCUUUCUCUGUCUCUCUGUAUCUUCUGCCCUAGAGGACUGGACCAUAAUUCUGGAUGGAUGAGAAAUGAACUCUGACAACUAAGCUCAAGCUAAAAACAAAUUCAACAAAUAAAGAUUUUCCAGAGCAGAUACCAGCACUCUCACGCAUAUGCAGUGUGAUUGCUUUGUGAAUUCAUCAGCCACGGAGAAAUAAGGAGAAAUCCAGAUCAAGUAGCGGGACAGUGGAGGUGCUGCAAGCCCAGCGGAGCUUCUCGGGCAGACAAUAAAUCAGCACUGAGGCAUUGCGCUGCUGCAUCCGGACUUCUGCAGAAGUUACUUCCUGGGAACCUCUUCUCCCUUCGAGCUUCGCCCCACGCUCCCCAGCUUGUUCCCACAUAUAUCAGAUUAAUGACAUCAAUGCCACCAGUCUGUAUUUGCGGCUGCAAAAAUAGCAAGGUGGUG
rnacentral:lncRNA from 1 species